rnacentral:rRNA from 1 species
UACGAAGGGGGCUAGCGUUGUUCGGAAUUACUGGGCGUAAAGGGCGCGUAGGCGGUGUGUCAAGUCAGGCGUGAAAGCCCCGGGCUCAACCUGGGAACAGCGCUUGAGACUGGCACGCUCGAGUUCGGGAGAGGAUGGUGGAAUUCCCAGUGUAGAGGUGAAAUUCGUAGAUAUUGGGAAGAACACCGAUGGCGAAGGCAGCCAUCUGGACCGACACUGACGCUGAGGCGCGGAAAGCGUGGGGGAGCAAACAGG